GACGAACGCUUGCGGCGUGCUUAACACAUGCAAGUCGAACGGAAAGGCCCUGCUUUUGUGGGGUGCUCGAGUGGCGAACGGGUGAGUAACACGUGAGUAACCUGCCCUUGACUUUGGGAUAACUUCAGGAAACUGGGGCUAAUACCGGAUAGGAGCUCCUGCUGCAUGGUGGGGGUUGGAAAGUUUCGGCGGUUGGGGAUGGACUCGCGGCUUAUCAGCUUGUUGGUGGGGUAGUGGCUUACCAAGGCUUUGACGGGUAGCCGGCCUGAGAGGGUGACCGGCCACAUUGGGACUGAGAUACGGCCCAGACUCCUACGGGAGGCAGCAGUGGGGAAUAUUGCACAAUGGGCGGAAGCCUGAUGCAGCAACGCCGCAUGCGGGAUGACGGCCUUCGGGUUGUAAACCGCUUUCGCCUGUGACGAAGCGUGAGUGACGGUAAUGGGUAAAGAAGCACCGGCUAACUACGUGCCAGCAGCCGCGGUGAUACGUAGGGUGCGAGCGUUGUCCGGAUUUAUUGGGCGUAAAGGGCUCGUAGGUGGUUGAUCGCGUCGGAAGUGUAAUCUUGGGGCUUAACCCUGAGCGUGCUUUCGAUACGGGUUGACUUGAGGAAGGUAGGGGAGAAUGGAAUUCCUGGUGGAGCGGUGGAAUGCGCAGAUAUCAGGAGGAACACCAGUGGCGAAGGCGGUUCUCUGGGCCUUUCCUGACGCUGAGGAGCGAAAGCGUGGGGAGCGAACAGGCUUAGAUACCCUGGUAGUCCACGCUGUAAACGGUGGGUACUAGGUGUGGGGUCCAUUCCACGGGUUCCGUGCCGUAGCUAACGCUUUAAGUACCCCGCCUGGGGAGUACGGCCGCAAGGCUAAAACUCAAAGGAAUUGACGGGGCCCCGCACAAGCGGCGGAGCAUGCGGAUUAAUUCGAUGCAACGCGUAGAACCUUACCUGGGUUUGACAUGGAUCGGGAGUGCUCAGAGAUGGGUGUGCCUCUUUUGGGGUCGGUUCACAGGUGGUGCAUGGCUGUCGUCAGCUCGUGUCGUGAGAUGUUGGGUUAAGUCCCGCAACGAGCGCAACCCUUGUUCACUGUUGCCAGCACGUUAUGGUGGGGACUCAGUGGAGACCGCCGGGGUCAACUCGGAGGAAGGUGGGGAUGACGUCAAGUCAUCAUGCCCCUUAUGUCCAGGGCUUCACGCAUGCUACAAUGGCUGGUACAGAGAGUGGCGAGCCUGUGAGGGUGAGCGAAUCUCGGAAAGCCGGUCUCAGUUCGGAUUGGGGUCUGCAACUCGACCUCAUGAAGUCGGAGUCGCUAGUAAUCGCAGAUCAGCAACGCUGCGGUGAAUACGUUCCCGGG
rnacentral:rRNA from 1 species